UACGGGGGGGGCAAGCGUUGUUCGGAAUUACUGGGCGUAAAGGGCUCGUAGGCGGCCCACUAAGUCCGACGUGAAAUCCCCAGGCUUAACUUGGGAACUGCGUCGGAUACUGGUGGGCUUGAAUCCGGGAGAGGGAUGCGGAAUUCCUGGUGUAGCGGUGAAAUGCGCAGAUAUCAGGAGGAACACCGGUGGCGAAGGCGGGUCUCUGGGCAGUGAACUGACGCUGAGGAACGAAAGCGUGGGUAGCGAACAGGA
rnacentral:rRNA from 1 species